AUUUAUACAAUACAAUACUAUAGGAUAUCCUUUAGGAAACAAAAUGAAAUAGAGAGAAACUGUAAAACAGUAUGUUAUCCGACAGAUACACUGGAUGUUUAGAUAAUAACGUUCUAUUUUAUUUUCUUAUUUAUUUUCUAUUUCACUUGGAAAAUCACAAAAUAGAAAAUUGGCUCCAGUUUUUCAAAUUUUCCUAUUUAAAUAUAAGCUACUUGCAAUUUCUCUAUAAAAUGAACAUCUUAUAAUCAAACAAUGAGCACUACUACUUAAUUGAAUUAUAAUCUUGGUCUUACAGCUCAUUUGAAACAUUGAUGCUAUAUUAUAUCAAUAUCACUAUAUUUGUGACUAAUUUUUAAAGUUUUAAGUCUUCAGUAGAAAUGAAUGGACUUGGGGCUGAGAGCCACAGACAGGGUGAGGAGGUCGGAAAGUACUGAAAGACAGACUAACUAACACAUUGCUGGUUAGUCAGAUAAACAAUCCUACCUCUGGAUUUAUAAAAUAAAAUGUGACCCAUAUAAUGAUGAAAUAUUACAUUUGUAUCACACUUAACGGAGCACUUGUCCCUAUAACACUAUACAUGGUGAACAAUAUACAUUUUUGUUAAAUAAGCAAUAGAUUUCUCUCCUUAAAGGUUCUAUAUGUAGAAUUUUGAAGCAAUUUACAUGUAUUAAUCAUUUCUUAUUGCCAAUUAGUGAACAAGUAGUAAUGUAACGUAAAAAUGAGACCUUUCCCAACUUUCUCUGUUGUCUGUAACAGCCUGUGGACUGAUUUCUAUGUGAAGGACUCGGGCUACAUUUCCUGCAAAAAUCCAAUGGAAGUGACGUUUUUUCACGCUCCUGAGUGCCUUGCCUCUCUCCCGCUGAUGUCAACAAACGACCUGCAACGACCGACGCAACAAAAAUGGUGCUAUGCAACUAGAAACACCCUGCAGAUAUUAGCUCUCCAGCUAAUGAGACGACUAGCUGCAUCUAUCAACCACUACACAUUUCACAACAAAACACCCCCGCAAUGACAAGUCGCCCACUCCCGAGCACACAAAGGAAAAACAUUAUUUCCUCAACAAAGGAGCAGAAAACAAGCUCCAGAGCGAUAGCAGAACAUAGGUUACCCCUUUUGUUUUCCAGUUGGUAGUCCACAGGUCGUAAUAAGCGCACCAACAACAGCUCACUGAGCUCACCUUUGUAAAAAGGGGCGUUUUUGAAAUAUUUUGGAGGAACUUUCACUGCACCACCAUCUACCUCAUCAGCUGACAUGACUGCUGCUGAGGGGACAUCGUCAGAGACUUCGGGGGCAUCUACUCCCUCCUCUGAUGUGACUGCAGCUGCAGAGGUCAUAACAGAGGUACCUGACAGACCUAACAGAGUACAUGACUGCGUCUGCAGUGUUUGAAACACUUGGACAAGUUAAAAGCAAGUUUGGGGUACUGAUAAACUUCCCAAUCUUGGAAGAUGAAGCACUGGAGAAACAAUGUGAGGAACUUGAGAACGCACUAAGGAGUGAAGAGGAAGCCAACAUUUAUGGGAGAGAACUGGCCAUGGAAAUCAGAAACUCUUCUCAGUUAGAAACAGGAUGUCUGUAUUUGAACUGCUGGACUUUGUCCAGAAGAAGAAACUGACAGAAUUGUAUCCAAAUCUUUGUCUAUCCGCGAGGAUUGCCCGUAUCCUGCCAGUGACUUUUGUAGUGUUCACUUUAUUUAGCAUAUUUUGCACUCUUAUAUUGAGUUUUCAUUGCUAUUUAUUUGGCUAAAUAUUUUUGGUUUUAUCGGUGUUCAUUUGUCAUUGUCUUUUUUUAUAGACCUUGUUAUGUGCAAGUUUGUUGCUUUGUAUUGUUUAAAUAUAUUGACUUUAUUAUUUAUUAUUUUGAAUACUUUGUAAUUGUUAAUUGUAUCUUAACUUCUCAAAUUUUAAUAUAUUUUUAAUAGACAUUGUUUUGUUCGUGUUCAUUGAGUUAUGAGCAUUGUGUGUGAUUUGGUGGUUGUGCUGUGAGUGUUUUGGGGCCACAAACAAAAUCUUGUUUAGGGCCACCAAGAUCCUAGGGCCGGCCAUGUGGCAAGGGCUUAAAUGUAAAGGACGCUCAUUUAUAUGUCAAAGUCCUGCACUGUAGUGUGAGUAGCGAGCCACACAGAAAGUCACACUGAUUGUGUGGCCCCCCCUAGCGGUUGUGGCUCCAAACAACCGCAUAGAGUGUUUAUGCCAGGGGUCGGCCCUGCAAAGGACCACAGUGGGAAAUAAGCUGAUGAUUAAUGUUCAUCUUUCUUAUAAAUAAAUAAAUUCAAUUUGUAUGAUGA